GACGUAGGAUGCAAGCGUUGUCCGGAAUUAUUGGGCGUAAAGCGUUCGUAGGCGGCCUGCCAAGUCUGAUGUUAAAUCCCGGGGCUCAACCCCGGACCAGCAUUGGAUACUGGCAAGCUAGAGUACGGUAGAGGUAAGGGGAAUUCCUAGUGUAGCGGUGAAAUGCGUAGAUAUUGGGAAGAACAUCGGUGGCGAAAGCGCCCUGCUGGGCCUGCACUGACACUGAGGGACGAAAGCUAGGGGAGCGAAAGGG
rnacentral:rRNA from 1 species